UGGCUCAGGACGAACGCUGGCGGCGUGCCUAAUACAUGCAAGUCGAACGGUCUUUCUAUGGAAGCUUGCUUCCACUGAGAAGAUAGUGGCGAACGGGUGAGUAACACGUGGGUAACCUGCCCAUAAGAGGGGGGAUAACAUCCGGAAACGGGUGCUAAUACCGCAUAGUUUCUUGAUCGCAUGAUCGGGAAAGGAAAGACGGCCUUUGUGCUGUCGCUUAUGGAUGGACCCGCGGCGUAUUAGUUAGUUGGUGAGGUAACGGCUCACCAAGACGAUGAUACGUAGCCGACCUGAGAGGGUGAUCGGCCACAUUGGGACUGAGACACGGCCCAAACUCCUACGGGAGGCAGCAGUAGGGAAUCUUCCGCAAUGGACGAAGGUCUGACGGAGCAACGCCGCGUGAGUGAAGAAAGGUUUUCGGAUCGUAAAACUCUGUUGUCAGAGAAGAACAAGUUGGAGAGUAACUGCUCCAGCCUUGACGGUAUCUGACCAGAAAGCCACGGCUAACUACGUGCCAGCCGCUGC
rnacentral:rRNA from 1 species